AACGUAGAUUCUGAAAGAUUAUUGGUAUAGUUAUGCUUGGUUAAUACUAAAUCUCAAACUAUAAAUGUGUAUUCAACCAAGAAAAUGUUUACUAAAUAAUGCAACGUGUGCAAUAUUCUGCUGAAUAUUCAAUAAAGGAUAGACGACAGACAGGUUCAGUGUAACAAAAAAAAACAGGAAGUGCUUGGUAAAAAUAGUUUAAUUUUGAUACCAGCAGCCUUUGGAAGACUCGUGAAAUGUGUAAUAUAUGUACAGACAAAUUUUUUGACCAAUGGCCAGCAACUGUAAAUGCAAAAACGUGUCAUUUUAUAAUUGAUGAACAUCUACUCGAUUAUCCAGAUGUCAAUACCUGAAAAACUUAGGACCAAUCAAUGCAGUUGUGUUUUUU